rnacentral:tmRNA from 3 species
GGGGCUGCUACGGCAUCGACAGAAGUACUUUAAAAUCUAAAGGCUAGUAAGCCGAAGAGCAAACUUCGUUAACAAAGCAACACAAUAACUGCAAAAUUCGCAGAAAAAGUUAAGACCGCUUUUGCUGGUCUUAGCUUUCAACCAGCUGUAGCCUAAAUCAGGCUACCCGUCUUUAGUAGCCGGCCCGGCGACGGCUAAAGACGAAAUAAUCCGGGAUGCAGGGGCCGUAUGUCUGUGACGGCGCUCAAGACUUAUCAGGCUAGACUGGAAAGAAUUUGUCUAAUUUAUCUUCUAGUUUAAAACUCAAAUUAGACUAAGCUUGCUAAAAGUUUUUAGGUUUUUACUUUUGGACGCGGGUUCGACUCCCGCCAGCUCCACCA